rnacentral:tRNA from 1 species
GCCAAAAUAGCUCAGUUGGGAGAGCGUUAGACUAUAGAUCGAAGGUCCCUGGUUCGAUCCCGAACUUCGGCA